rnacentral:rRNA from 1 species
CCUACGGGAGGCAGCAGUGAGGAAUAUUGGUCAAUGGGCGCGAGCCUGAACCAGCCAAGUAGCGUGAAGGAUGACUGCCCUACGGGUUGUAAACUUCUUUUAUAAAGGAAUAAAGUGAGGCACGUGUGCCUUUUUGCAUGUACUUUAUGAAUAAGGAUCGGCUAACUCCGUGCCAGCAGCCGCGGUAAUACGGGGGAUCCGAGCGUUAUCCGGCUUUAUUGGGUUUAAAGGGAGCGUAGAUGGGUUGUUAAGUCAGUUGUUAAAGUUUGCGGCUCAACCGUAAAAUUGCAAUUGAUACUGGCAGUCUUGAGUACAGUUGAGGUAGGCGGAAUACGUGAAGUAGCGGUGAAAUGCUUAGAUAUCACGAAGAACUCCGAUUGCGAAGGCAGCUUACUAGACUGCCACUGACGUUGAUGCUCGAGAGUGUGGGUAGCAAACAGGAUUAGAUACCCGUGUAGUC